UACGUAGGGUGCUAGCGUUAAUCGGAUUUACUGGGCGUAAAGCGUUCGCAGGCGGUUUUGUAAGUCAGGUGUGAAAUCCCCGGGCUUAACCUGGGAAUGGCAUUUGGGACUGCAAGGCUUGAGUGCGGCAGAGGAGACUGGAAUUCCUGGUGUAGCAGUGAAAUGCGUAGAUAUCAGGAGGAACACCGAUGGCGAAGGCAGGUCUCUGGGCUGUCACUGACGCUGAUGCACGAAAGCGUGGGGAGCAAACAGG
rnacentral:rRNA from 1 species